rnacentral:rRNA from 1 species
UACGGGGGGAGCAAGCGUUGUUCGGAUUUACUGGGCGUAAAGGGCGCGUAGGCGGUCAGCACAAGUCAGUUGUGAAAUCUCCGGGCUUAACUCGGAAAGGUCAACUGAUACUGUGCGACUAGAGUGCGGAAGGGGCAACUGGAAUUCUCGGUGUAGCGGUGAAAUGCGUAGAUAUCGAGAGGAACACCUGCGGCGAAGGCGGGUUGCUGGGCCGACACUGACGCUGGAUGCGCGAAAGCCAGGGAGCGAACGGG